rnacentral:rRNA from 1 species
AGAGUUUGAUCAUGGCUCAGGAUGAACGCUGGCGGCGUGCCUAAUACAUGCAAGUCGAGCGGUAAGGUUCUCACAGUUUAUUUGACCGAGCUAGGCCCUCUUAAUCCUCUCCGGCUGGAAAGGAUUAAGAAAUCGUCUAACGAAAGAAAAACGAUGGCCUGGCGCCAAACUACAUUUAGAUUAUAGAUGUAAGCGAGGUCGAAUGAAGUGUGAGAAUACACGAGCGGCGGACGGCUGAGUAACGCGUAGGAACGUACCCCAAAGUGAGGGAUAAGCCCGGGAAACCGGGUCUAAUACCGCAUGUGAUCUUCGGAUGAAAGUCUUUUAGACGCUUUGGGAGCGGCCUGCGUAUGAUUAGUUUGUUGGUGAGGUAAUGGCUCACCAAGACUACGAUCAUUAGCUGGUCUGAGAGGAUGAUCAGCCAGACUGGGACUGAGACACGGCCCAGACUCCUACGGGAGGCAGCAGUAGGGAAUUUUCCACAAUGGGCGAAAGCCUGAUGGAGCAACGCCGCGUGCAGGAGGAAGGCCUUCGGGUCGUAAACUGCUUUUAAGGGGGACGAUUUUGACGGUACCCCUAGAAUAAAGGAUCGGCUAACUCCGUGCCAGCAGCCGCGGUCAUACGGAGGAUCCAAGCGUUAUCCGGAAUUACUGGGCGUAAAGAGUUGCGUAGGUGGCAUAGCAAGCAAAUAGUGAAAUUGUGUGGCUCAACCAUACACCCAUUAUUUGAACUGCUAAGCUUGAGCAUGAGAGAGGUAGAUGGAAUUUCUAGUGUAGGAGUGAAAUCCGUAGAUAUUAGAAGGAACACCGAUGGCGUAGGCAGUCUACUGGCUCAUUGCUGACACUAAGGCACGAAAGCGUGGGGAGCGAACGGGAUUAGAUACCCCGGUAGUCCACGCCGUAAACUAUGGACGCUAGCUGUUAGGAGUAUCGACCCUUCUAGUAGCGAAGCUAACGCGUUAAGCGUCCCGCCUGUGGAGUACGGUCGCAAGACUAAAACAUAAAGGAAUUGACGGGGACCCGCACAAGCGGUGGAGCGUGUUGUUUAAUUCGAUGGUAAGCGAAGAMCCUUACCCAGGCUUGACAUCCUGUGAAGCAUUGCGAAAGCAGAGUGUGCCUUUUAGGAACACAGUGACAGGUGAUGCAUGCCCGUCGUCAG